UACAGAGGGUGCGAGCGUUAAUCGGAUUUACUGGGCGUAAAGCGCGCGUAGGUGGUUAAUUAAGUUGGAUGUGAAAUCCCCGAGCUUAACUUGGGAAUUGCAUUCGAUACUGGUUGACUAGAGUAUGAGAGAGGAAGGUAGAAUUCCAGGUGUAGCGGUGAAAUGCGUAGAGAUCUGGAGGAAUACCGAUGGCGAAGGCAGCCUUCUGGCUUAAUACUGACACUGAGGUGCGAAAGCAUGGGGAGCAAACAGG
rnacentral:rRNA from 1 species